UACGUAGGGGGCAAGCGUUGUCCGGAUUUAUUGGGCGUAAAGAGCGUGUAGGCGGUCAGGUAGGUCGGUUGUGAAACCUGGAGGCUCAACCUUCAGAGGUCGACCGAAACCCCCUGGCUAGAGUCCGGGAGAGGAGAGUGGAAUUCCUGGUGUAGCGGUGAAAUGCGCAGAUAUCAGGAAGAACACCCGUGGCGAAAGCGGCUCUCUGGAACGGUACUGACGCUGAGACGCGAAAGCGUGGGGAGCGAACAGG
rnacentral:rRNA from 1 species